rnacentral:rRNA from 1 species
AUGGUUGGGCGGCGGCGUGUGCUGUUGGAGGAGGGAGGUGGGCACAGCGGCGCGUUCGCCGGGGUGGGAAGUAGGGACGGUGGCGCGGUCGCCGGGAUGGGAGGUGGGACGGCAGUGCGGUCGCUGGNNNNNNNNGUGGGGACGGCGGCGCGGUCAACGGGGUGGGAGGUGGGGACGACAGCACAUCUGCUGGGGAGGGAGGUCGGGGCCGACGCCGCUUGCUGCCAGGGGAGGAAGUUGGGGGCGGCGGAGCUUCUGCCUGGCAGGAAGGUGGGGGGCGAAGGAGGUUCCACCGGUGAAGAGAGAUUGACUCUCUGGGUGGAUGAACUUGUGUCUGUUUACAAGUUUAAUGCAAUCACUGGAUGUUCUAGAACCUCUAACAUGAUGGGAAUUUGGUGUAGGCUCCGAGGAGUGAGAUAUUACAAACAUGGGUCUCAUGACCCAACAUUCAGAGCAUACAAGUCAAAGCACAUGCGGAAGCUUAACAUGUCUGAGUACAGACAUCUACAAAUGAAAAAGGCUGAUUAG